GUAACAAGGUUUCCGUAGGUGAACCUGCGGAAGGAUCAUUACCGAGUGCGGGCUGCCUCCGGGCGCCCAACCUCCCACCCGUGACUACCUAACACUGUUGCUUCGGCGGGGAGCCCUUUCGGGGGCGAGCCGCCGGGGACUACUGAACUUCAUGCCUGAGAGUGAUGCAGUCUGAGUCUGAAUAUAAAAUCAGUCAAAACUUUCAACAAUGGAUCUCUUGGUUCCGGCAUCGAUGAAGAACGCAGCGAACUGCGAUAAGUAAUGUGAAUUGCAGAAUUCAGUGAAUCAUCGAGUCUUUGAACGCACAUUGCGCCCCCUGGCAUUCCGGGGGGCAUGCCUGUCCGAGCGUCAUUGCUGCCCAUCAAGCCCGGCUUGUGUGUUGGGUCGUCGUCCCCCCCGGGGGACGGGCCCGAAAGGCAGCGGCGGCACCGUGUCCGGUCCUCGAGCGUAUGGGGCUUUGUCACCCGCUCGAUUAGGGCCGGCCGGGCGCCAGCCGACGUCUCCAACCAUUUUUUUCAGGUUGACCUCGGAUCAGGUAGGGAUACCCGCUGAACUUAAGCAUAUCA
rnacentral:misc_RNA from 1 species